UACGUAGGGUGCGAGCGUUAAUCGGAAUUACUGGGCGUAAAGCGUGCGCAGGCGGUUUUGUAAGCCAGAUGUGAAAUCCCCGGGCUUAACCUGGGAAUGGCAUUUGGGACUGCAAGGCUUGAGUGUGGCAGAGGGGACUGGAAUUCCUGGUGUAGCAGUGAAAUGCGUAGAGAUCAGGAGGAAUACCGAUGGCGAAGGCAGGUCCCUGGGCUGACACUGACGCUCAUGCACGAAAGCGUGGGGAGCGAACAGG
rnacentral:rRNA from 1 species